GACACUUGUCACUCUUAAAGUGGCAGAUACAACAUUCUAAAAAAGAAAAUAUAUUCACAUGAAGAUCUGGAAAACAAACAAAAUGGAGUCUGGUAAAUUUUUUUUAUGAUAAUUUCUAAAUCAGCGAGAAUCCGAGAAAAUUUCUAUCCGUGUUCGACUUACCCGCGUUAGGUCGAAUCAGAUUCAGAUCGGUCAAUGAAUUCUAAUUUUAUAAAGAGGUUCCAACAUCUCUAUAAAGUCGGGACAAAUAAUACUUAUAUAAUAUGAAACUUAUUACUAUCGAAGGAUGCUGUGCCAGUAUAGUUAUUUUAUAAUAAUUAUGGGAAUAUAAAACAGAGGAAUAAGGAAACCAAUCUCAAAUGAAGAGAAAUCGUGAAAUAAAUUAUAGUCCAUUCUUAGUUCCUCGCUGACAUCUUCUCCAAUUAAUCCAAUCUCUUCAUCCCGAGUUUCCAACAAAGGACUCCUUAAAUCAACCCAUCAUGUGUUUGAUCAAGUCUUUUUUUCCCCCAAGGUAAACUUAAUUGCCCUGUCAGAAAAUAACUGACAUUUGAUGUAUUAUAUUAAAUUUAUUUCUUCUCUUUUUAUCAACAGUUACAACAGUAAUAUUUUUCAAUAGUCAUCA